GGCCGCUUCAAAUGUGAGUUUUUAACCUGUUAUUCUUCUUUUGAUUCCUUGUAUCCGUGUAUUAUGAGAUUGUCUCCUUAGGGACUUAAAAAUCUACUCAUGAGGCUUUGAAAAUAAUAUCCAAUCAUAUGAAAAUAUUGUUACUUCGUUAUCCCACAAAAUAAUUCACUGCAAAUAAUGAAGCUUUGAUGCCGAUGAGGAUGAAAAAACAUUGCCACAGGUGAUUUUGAACAUGAACUACAAUGGAUAGAAAAACUAGCCAACAUUCUGACAAACCAUAUAUUGAAAAGUAACGCUUUCUUCUUCAUUGAUAGGUGCAGGCAAAUGAAUAAAGCCAUGAAUCAACUAACAAAAUUGACUUAUUAACUGGACUUGGAUUUCAAAUACCUUUUUUAGUUUUCAGCUUCAGACGAAUAUUUAAAUCGAUCCUAAAGAUUAAUAAAGAUUAACAAAGAGAUCAUGUUAUUGAAAU
rnacentral:lncRNA from 1 species